CCCUGCCCCAGGCUGCCGCUGUCAGGGCGGAGGAGGCAGGUGGGCCAGGUGGCAGGACACGGCGCAGCCUGGCCAGCCCCCAGCCAGCACAACUCCUACAAGCAGCGGCGUUGGCUGAAAGCCUCCCUGGCGCUGGUGGAGAGCGAGGCGCGGGAAGAAGCCGGGGAGAUGGCCAGAGGUAUCCUCUACUCAUGAGAUGCCUGGAGUACAUGUGGCAGGGAACAUGACAACCACCUCAGGAAGGGCAGAAGGCUGCAGCAGAGCCAAGGGGUUUGAGGGGGAGAGGUGUCAGAUGCAGCUUUCUCCGGAUUUGCAGUGCUCCUACUAUCCAUGAUUCUUCCAUCUCUGGGAGAAAGGAAGCAGCCAGGCUCCAGUGCAGAGAGCACUGGAAACAGAGUCCCAUUGCUAAAGGAAGAGACUGGAUGCCUGACUGAUUUGAGAGCUGAUGCAGGGCUGAACGGCCGACUGGAGACCUGAUGGACAGAUGGAAAGACGGCUGGGAGAAGAUAUCAUAAGACAAUUUUAACUGCUGGUGUCUGUCUCUGCCUGGAUGACCUGGGAAACAAGCUCUCCCUGCAGCACAACGCAUCCAUUUUGGCUAUGGCCAGCACUUGUUUGCUUAUAUUGCACUAAACCCCUCUGUCUUUGGGUACAUCUACAUUGCAGCUGGAGGCAAAAUUUCCAGCUUGAGUAGAUGUACAUGUCCUCGUAGUAUAGGCAGGCCAGCGCAAGCAGGGGGAGGGGUUAGCUGCUUAAGUACAACGCCAUCCAUAGGAACAGACCAUCCCGAG
rnacentral:lncRNA from 1 species